GUGAUUUAUAGCUUUUGAUAUAAUGACAAAAUACACUCGUCUGGGGAAUCCACCUUCGUUAGUACAGUAUAGUUGCCUUUUGUCUUAAUGUAUAAUCAAGUUUUGAAGUAGGAUUCUGAAACCAACGUGCUUGCCAUCAAACAUUUGUUGAAUUUUGUAAUAAAAACUUGUGAAUCCUGACAGUUAUUUAGAUAACGUAGAUGAGAAGCGAGUUUCCUGUGAAUUUCCCCAUGUGACAACUUACCCCGGUUUGCCUGCAGCAAAUAUGUUCUGACAUGUAUGCACUUCCAUGUAAAGCUCUAUCUGAUCACGGCUCUGCUGCUGCGCGGUGUUUCGAAGCAGCAGCGUAGUAUGCCGAUGCGAAGUGAAUUCAGCAGAUGGCAGUAUCUGUCAGACCCGCGUGAGCGCCUCAACAAUGACACUUGCAACAUUGUAACAUUGAAACAUUAGAUCGCGGUGCGCGCAGAUACAAUGUAUCGAACGCGACAGAUGCUGCCGAGCCCAAGCAGAAACGCCGACGAGGAUUAAACCUGCGAUGGCUCUCCAUUCCUCUCACACGUCUCUCGGGGAGCUCCAAGCGCUCGCUACUCGAACCGACAGCUAAUACUUCCAGGCACAGGCGGCUGCGUGCGUUACACGGGGCUCAUGGCGGAGUUUGUCGCCGAGAACUGCGGGGUCUCGUCGCCGAGCGCUGGCGGGAAAUCCGCCCAGCCCGGCGAUGAUGCGGACGGCAGAGCUACGAACGAGGUGUCGGUCUCAAACGGGGACUGUGGACUGUGUGCGCCCGAGAACCAGGGGCUCGAGACGGCCAACGCGUCUGUGGUGCUGGACGGCAAAACUGGAAUCCCACGGAAGGCCAGUAUUAUUAAGUCAGUCAUUUCCUGGACGUGUCAGUCAUUCAGCAUGAGCAGAGGAGGUUAAAGCGUAAGAUAAUAUUUCAACUAAUUCCUCAAAAGUCUUCAAUGUUUUUCAUAAGACUUGAAGAAUGUACAUUAUGUAACAGUUGACCGCUGUUUUUUCAGGCCUCCUGGCCCUCACACAAUACCCAGUCAAGUCUAGCAGAAAACACACUUUUGUGCUGGAUAAUUAAGUACAUACACACAGAUUUCCGGACUAAAUAUUCACUAAAACGGCUGGCUGCUUGUUAGUAAACUCUGCUUUUCUCUCAGUAUGUGUGGUGUGAGUAUGAAGUCAGUUACACUAGAUCAUAGGAUGAAAAAAGGAAAUAAAAUGUAUAUUUAAAUAAUAUAUAAAAUGAUUACAGUUGUUUGAAAAAUAUUACAUUUGGAAGUAUUUGGAAAGGAUUUUAGAAAGCUCAUUUUUUUAGUAAUGACAUUGAUGUUUUAUGAUUACUAUGGGCUUAUUCCCUCCAACCAGAAUUUAGGUUAACCUCCAAAGCUCAGUUCUUUCCAACAGGAAGGCACAUUUCCUUUGACCCAGCUAGAAUAAAUUUCCGGUGGACCAAAGCCAUUGACAUUCGCAUGGGCCAUUACUCUCAGUAAGGGCCGGAGCUCCAGCUCCAGCGCCUGCGCGGCAUCAUAUUGAGAGACGGUCAGAUGGAUGGGGGCCAGAUUUUGGCUUGACCUCUCAUGGGACAUGGGGUUACUUGCCAUGGGACAUUAGGAGUGCCUGUGUUUACUGACGGGUAACAAUCCACUGAACUUCUGGUGUUUUGGAGCAGGUAGAGCACCACUAGGACAGAGAUGUUCAGGAAAUGAUGUGCUGAAUACUGGAGAAAAGAGUAGGAAUUACUUAGCUUUGGAAUGUUUUGCCAUAAUGUAAACAAACCGAUUAUGGACAGAUAAAGCUUAGAAGUUUGGUAUAUCAUAUUUUAUAUGUAGAUACAGUUUAAAGUUGUCUAAUUAAAAUGAAUUAAUGUUUGUUAAUUGAUGUGCCUGUCACAGCUGAUGCAAUCUGUUAUAUAAGAGACUCAUGUGAAACUCAGUGUCUCCGUGUCUCUUGGGGUCACAGUCCCUGGAGCAAACUGUACAGUUUCUGCUCAACCAGAUAUUAUUUCACAUAUUCUGAGCAUUACACAUGCUUAAAGAUGGGUGAUAUGACCAACAUAUUUUUAUUAUUUUGUUAUUUUAU
rnacentral:lncRNA from 12 species